AUGAACGCUGGCGGCGUGCUUAACACAUGCAAGUCGAACGAUUAACCCGCCCUCGGGCGGUUAUAGAGUGGCGAACGGGUGAGUAACACGUGACCAACCUGCCCCUUGCUCCGGGACAACCCAGGGAAACCUCGGCUAAUACCGGAUACUCCGCGCAGCCCGCAUGGGGGGCGCGGGAAAGCCCAGACGGCAAGGGAUGGGGUCGCGGCCCAUUAGGUAGACGGCGGGGUAACGGCCCACCGUGCCCGCGAUGGGUAGCCGGGUUGAGAGACCGAUCGGCCACAUUGGGACUGAGAUACGGCCCAGACUCCUACGGGAGGCAGCAGUGGGGAAUUUUGCGCAAUGGGGGAAACCCUGACGCAGCAACGCCGCGUGCGGGACGAAGGCCUUCGGGUUGUAAACCGCUUUCAGCAGGGAAUAUAGUGAAGGUACCUGCAGAAGAAGCUCCGGCUAACUACGUGCCAGCAGCCGCGGUAAUACGUAGGGAGCGAGCGUUAUCCGGAUUCAUUGGGCGUAAAGCGCGCGUAGGCGGCCCGUCAAGCGGGGUUUCAAAUCCAGGGGCUCAACCUCUGGCCGGACCCCGAACUGGCGGGCUCGAGUGCGGUAGAGGAAGGUGGAAUUCCCAGUGUAGCGGUGAAAUGCGCAGAUAUUGGGAAGAACACCGAUGGCGAAGGCAGCCUUCUGGGCCGCCACUGACGCUGAGGCGCGAAAGCUAGGGGAGCGAACAGGAUUAGAUACCCUGGUAGUCCUAGCCGUAAACGAUGGGCACUAGGUGUGGGGGAGCAUCUCCUCCGUGCCGCAGCCAACGCAUUAAGUGCCCCGCCUGGGGAGUACGGCCGCAAGGCUAAAACUCAAAGGAAUUGACGGGGGCCCGCACAAGCAGCGGAGCAUGUGGCUUAAUUCGAAGCAACGCGAAGAACCUUACCAGGGCUUGACAUAUAAGUGAAUAAUUAAGAGAUUAGUUAGCUCUUCGGAGCACUUAUACAGGUGGUGCAUGGUUGUCGUCAGCUCGUGUCGUGAGAUGUUGGGUUAAGUCCCGCAACGAGCGCAACCCCUGUUUCUAGUUGCCAGCAUGUAAAGAUGGGAACUCUGGAGAGACUGCCGGUGAUAAAUCGGAGGAAGGUGGGGACGACGUCAAAUCAUCAUGCCCCUUAUGACCUGGGCUACACACGUGCUACAAUGGACAGAGCAGAGGGAAGCGAAGCCGCGAGGUGGAGCGAAACCCAUAAAACUGUUCUCAGUUCGGACUGCAGUCUGCAACUCGACUGCACGAAGAUGGAAUCGCUAGUAAUCGCGAAUCAGCAUGUCGCGGUGAAUACGUUCCCGGGCCUUGUACACACCGCCCGUCACACCACUCGAGUCGUCUGCACCCGAAGUCGCCGGCCGAACCCGCAAGGGGCGGAGGCGCCGAAGGUGUGGAGGGUAAGAGGGGUG
rnacentral:rRNA from 1 species